UACGGAGGGUGCAAGCGUUAUCCGGAUUUACUGGGUUUAAAGGGUGCGCAGGCGGAUAUGUAAGUCAGUGGUGAAAUCUCCGGGCUUAACCGGGAAACUGCCGUUGAUACUAUAUAUCUUGAAUGCUGUGGAGGUAAGCAGAAUAUGUCAUGUAGCGGUGAAAUGCUUAGAGAUGACAUAGAAUACCUAUUGCGAAGGCAGCUUACUACGCAGAUAUUGACGCUCAUGCACGAAAGCGUGGGGAUCAAACAGG
rnacentral:rRNA from 1 species